UACGAAGGGGACUAGCGUUGUUCGGAAUCACUGGGCGUAAAGCGCGUGUAGGCGGAUCGUUAAGUCGGGGGUGAAAUCCUGAGGCUCAACCUCAGAACUGCCUUCGAUACUGGCGAUCUUGGAGUCCGGGAGAGGUGAGUGGAACUCCUAGUGUAGAGGUGAAAUUCGUAGAUAUUAGGAAGAACACCAGUGGCGAAGGCGGCUCACUGGCCCGGUACUGACGCUGAUAUGCGAAAGCGUGGGGAGCAAA
rnacentral:rRNA from 1 species